AUCUCAACAAGCCUCAAGGUCAAUGGCAGCUUUCCAAAAUGUAUUAAUAUCUGUUAUCUUGUGGGAACCAAUGAUGAGUGGUUUGGGAGAGGAGCUAGUGGGAUAUCAUCUGCUGUUGCUCAGGUGGAGCUUGAUGCAUGGGCUUUCUUCUGCUACCUCCCCCUGCCAAGCAUGUAUGUGAAUUGUGCAGUGUGCUGGAUGCCCCUCCAGAACCAGCAUGGUGGGGAUGUUAGAGCUGUUGGUCUCCAGCUUCAGCGGAAAGAUGUGAAUGCCAGUUCUGAUUUUGGAGUUACACCUCUGGAUGUGGAGUUGAGACCUUCCUGCUCAGGCUUGGGGCUCAGCUAAGGGCAGCAGGAACAUCACCAGCGUGGACUUGUGGUUUUCCCAUUUAGAGCUUUCUCAUGAAGAGGAAUGCCUUGAAGCUGGAAUUGUUUCUUGUAAGCACUGAUCAGUGCUUCCAGGAAUGGGAGAAGGAUGUGAAGGAGAUGGAAUGCAAAGGCCUCUAGAAAACCUCUUACCACAAUGAGACACUUCAAAAGCUCUUUAAAUAUUGGCUCAGUAUCUGCAAAGAUAAUCUUAAAACCUUCAACAGUGCAACAUGCAACUUUAUCUGGGAGUCGAUGGAUUCUCAACGCUUUGGAAAUUUAACAAUUCUGUCUGGAUAUUGGAGGUUUACUCUUUGUAGCCUGAAAAUUCAUGCAGCUGGUGGUUUCGCUGUGGGAAUUGAAAGUAUGGAGGAUGUGGUGUAUUGUAGUGCUCAUGUAAUUGAUGGGAUUGGUACACUCUCUGUGUGAGUGUCUGUGUUGAAUGUUUGUGGAACUGUGGGCAUAAUUGUUACUGGAGAUAUGAAAAUGGUAAUAAUAAAGUUGUAUUAUUUAAUAGAACUUGAAUAACAUUUGGGGCCUUCUGUUAGCCAUUUGUAUUCCCAUUUGGGUGCACGAUGCUGAAGAUGCAAAAGCCUAACAAUGUUGAAUCUGAUGAUUUUGAGAUUUAAGAGAAUCCAUGCUUAGAUGCUUGACAUUUUCACACAAUGUUCAUCAAAACAGGCAGUCUCACAAAUUAGUACAGCAAGACAGGAGUUAUCAGUUGAAAAUGCUGAGAGAUAGGACUUUGACCUCCACUCGUCCCCUUCUUCACUGACUCCUGCAAUAUGAGAGCUGGAAUAGGACCUGGACCCUGGGUAUCUUUUUCUACAAGUCCUGUGCGCUCAUGCCUCUCUCUGCCCUAGUGAGUAUUUGAUUACGCCACUCCAAGAGGGACCAUUCCAGCAGGAGGGCUGAGGGAGUACUUGCCUGCAGUAGCCUGCUGGCUCUGCACAGGGCACUUUGCAGGAAGCUCACCUGGGAGCUGGAUGAUGCAAGUUCAGGUCCCUUCAGGCAGAGAUUGCCAUUUUAAUUCUGCUUCCCUUGCAGCUUGUGUGAAUGUUUCAACCAGUGGGCUUUGGGGGUAGGAAAAGAGCAGAGAUGUCAGUGGUGCUGUCUGCACGUUAGUGCAUCUUGCCUGCGCUUUACUUCCAUUGGUAGUUUUGGUGGUGCUGGGGCAUAGUCAGCAGCAAAUGGCAGCUUAGUGGAAGCCUGAGGAGCUCAUCUGGAAUCAGACUCCUGCAGUAGGAUAUUGUUAGUAUAGUACCCAUCACUCUUCAUGGGUUCUUGCUCA